UGAAGGACGUAGCGAAACACGAAAGGUGUUGCGAAUUGCAAGAUUUCGCGAGUCAAUGACCAUCCGAAUGCAUCGCCGCCCUCUUGCAGCCUUCGGGCGGCGGAGGGMGCGUCGGCGACAUCGCCAGUCCCUUGCGUCGCUCCGCCUCGGAGC
rnacentral:rRNA from 1 species